UUUCCUUUCAGAAGCACUGCUGACAGUUUGGUGGUUGCCAUUGGGACAGUGAGCCUUUUGUUCUUUCUGAGGUUGGGCUGGUUUCUCCUCUUGGCCCUGCCCUACAGACCGUAAAGGAAAUCAGCAAGAAGUCCCCAGCAAACAUCCACAGAUGGCCCUGGACAUCAGCCACAUUCUGAGAAACAUGUCACGUUCUGGGAGGGCUAAGGCAUCAAGUAAGGCCUAUGGGGCUGGAGAAUCCGAGGGCAGGUGGGGCAACCCAGAGCCAUGGGGGCUACCCAUGGGAAUUGGGAGGUCCCAAGGCAGAUGCAGGGGUUCCACAGGAGAAGUCCCAGAGCCACCAAGUGCUCUCCUGUCCCAGGGAGCAGUCAACACCAUGGACUGAACACUUACUGGGCUUCAAGCUCUGGGCCAGGCUGGGGCAUGUGGGGCCAUGAGGGAGCUCAGAGUGGGAGACAGAGAGACAAGUGUGCUCAGAGGGCACCCAUUUCUGGGUGUAAUGUGGUCCUGAGAUUUUGGCUGAGAAGGGUUUCCAGGGUUUCAUAUGUGUUAUGGAGCUGCUUCCUCUCCCCAGCCUCACCUUGCAGGAAUCCCAGUGAAUAUAUUGCCACCCUAUUUGAGCUCAGUGCCCUCAUAGUGUAAUGGCACCAGCAGAUCUGCCUGUGCAUGGACUUCCUGUACUACCCAUUCCUGAGGGGUGAUGCUUCUGCAGGGCCUAUGACCUGGUGCACAACUUUAGACACCAUCAUCCUGGAGCAGCACUGCACCCUCACUAGCCAGGGUGUUCAUGACUUCCUCAAGGCCAAGGCCACGUUCAAGACUUGGGACUUCAGUGAUGCACUUGUGCUGGGCAAGGUGGCUUCUCCGGUAUCUUAAUUUGCCAUGGAAGGUGCUGGAUAAAGGAGGGACAGUCAGAUAUGUCUUAGAGAUGACUGUAGAAGGCUGCCUGGAAGGAGUGAACAAGAGCCAGGAGACCCAGGAGGGAGCUUGUGGGGCAGGUCUGGAGAUGGCAAGGGAGGGAUCCUGCUUGGAUGAAAAGUCUUCAGGGACUGUCUCAGGUUACACUCAGGUGCCCUCAGAGCUAAUGUGUUCAGAGGUCUUGUCUCCAGGAUGAAAAUGGGAAGGAGUUGUCAGAAGAGGACAUAUAAAUGGAGGCUGGCAUCUUCAUGAGUACCAGCGGUGGUCCCGGUGUGGGUCUCUCCAUCCAGGGACAUGGUGGAUGGACACUACAUCACUCCAUUCUGCCCUUCCUUUCCCUCCUCCCAUUCUCCCAAGGGCCUCAGUGCAUGGGCGGUGUCCAACCUCUGGUGCUGAAUCAGCCAAGAGAUCCAAGCCUGCUUGGCUGCCUCUUAGGAUAUGAAAGCACAGCCACUGGGCUCUACUGAAUCCUAUGCAACCUCAGAAGACACCCAGGAGUGAUGCCAUCACGUGGUGCAAGAGUUCUGAGGGACCGCAAUCCUGAAGACAUUGAAUGGCUGUGUUCCUGCUCAUUGCUGGAGGCACUGUCAGGGGCCCUGUCCUCAACCCCGGGUCUGACACUUGCAGAUCAGGCAGGACAUUCUGGAGGAAUCAUGCCCUUGGAAGGAUCCCUGAGGAGUGACUGUUGUUAGAUUAAAAAACAGUGGCAAAGAGCAAUACAGAGAGUUGCCAAAAUUCACACCGCUGGUCCAGGUUUGAAGCAAGCAAUCUGUACCUGCAGUCCUUGUCUGUAACCAUGGCACCCUGGCUUCUCACACAUCUCAUCGUGGAGUUCCACCAUGUGUCAGGCAUGGCACUGAGCACCUUCUUUUAAGAAUAUAAUUUGUAAUUAUGUAGAUUCUUAAUUCUACUUCAAAAUGCCACACAGCCUUCAUGUGAUAAAAUGAAACAAUUGCUCAACUGAUCUCCUGGGAUCUCUACUAAGAUGUUGGCAGCCCGGUCAGCUGGUCUGGCCCUGGACGUGCCUUCAGGGUCUGGUUAUGCUUCAUGACCUGCAUUGUGGUCAGUGGUAAGCAGCACCUGCUUCUAGCUUUACUGUUGGGUCAGAUUUUAUCCCCACUCCAGCUCUGCAGUGUGGCUGCUUCUUGAUUCAUCCAUGGACCCUGCACGAAAUUGCCCCAUGUUACUGUUUGUGCAUCACUGAGGAAGGAAGCAUGAAGGACGCACAGGUCAGGCCAUUCCAUUGCCCUCCUGGUGCUGGGUUUGCCCUCCCAAUCCUGGGGUUGCUUCAGGGGCUGGUCGUUCUCCAUAGCCCCCUCCACAUUUCUCAGGUUUCUGCUCAAAAGUCACCUUUCGGAGGGGUCUCCACCUGUCACUGUGUUUUUAAGAGCUCCUUCGGUUUCUUUCUAGCUCAUCUCACUCUGGUAAUGUCUUUGAUUACCACCACCAUCUGACCUGGUCUUAUGAUCUGUUAGCUUCCUUCAUCAGAUGUGAGCACCAGGAUGGCAGGGGCCUCAUCUGUCCUGUUCCUCCUGUGGCCUGGGUCCUAGCACCAUGUCUGGUACAGUGUAGAUGCUCAAGGGAAGUUUACUUUGUAGAACUGUUUAUCUGGGAGAUAUUACUGUUGGUCUAACCUGUACCAUAUUGUAAACCUCCAGCCAUUUUGCAGACUUUGAUCACAGUGAAACGUUCCAUGGGAACUUGGGCCAUGAGAAACAUCCUUCCUAACCACGUGACUGCAGAAACAUCCUUAUCACAUCCUCCUGGGCAAAGGCCCAACAGCCUGACUGCAGGGACAUCCUUGCCAUAUCCUGCUGGGCAGCAAGCUCUACCACCCAGAUCCCUCCCUCCCAGUCCCAUGAUUACCCCAGCCUGUGAGUGGCAGUUGGUUCUGGCACUAAGCUGGUUUCCUCCUCCCCAGGGUUUUGCUGGCAAUAAAGAUGUUGCUGUUGAAGCCA
ensembl:lncRNA CYP4F35P cytochrome P450 family 4 subfamily F member 35, pseudogene